ensembl:miRNA rno-mir-20a rno-mir-20a
CAGCUUCUGUAGCACUAAAGUGCUUAUAGUGCAGGUAGUGUGUCGUCAUCUACUGCAUUACGAGCACUUACAGUACUGCCAGCUG